CCCUUAGAUGUCCUGGGCCGCACGCGCGCUACACUGACAUGUUCAACAAGCCUCCUAGUUCGACAGGAUUUGGGAAAUCUUUGAACGCAUGUCGUGAUAGGGAUAGAUCAUUGCAAUUAUUGAUCUUGAACGAGGAAUUCCUAGUAAACGCGAGUCAUCAGCUCGCAUUGAUUACGACCCUGCCCUUUGUACACACCGCCCGUCGCACCUACCGAUUGAAUGUUUCGGUGAAGAUUCCGGAUAGGACUUUUUUGAUUUAUUUCAAUUUUGUCUUAAAAGCUAUCUAAACCUCAACAUUUAGAGGAAGGUGAAGUCGUAACA
rnacentral:rRNA from 1 species